UCUUUCGUUGGUGGCUAACGGCGACAUCCGGCGGUAGUCAAAUCCUCUCUAGUAUCCGACUGCGUGGCUUCAGUUUACAGGCAAUUUCAAACGAGUCCUAUGGACCACGCGCGUCCUCUCCCUUCCGUUUUCUGUAACCCUUUCAAAAUCGUCGACGGUCUCACCAGUUCAUCCGCCGGAAAUUUAGAUGAGAUUGCCAAGUUGUUCCCAAAUCUGUUCGCAAUGAUAGGCGAAAUUAGUGCCAAAUGAUGUUGAUUAUGCUUCAAGCAGAUUAGAAGUUGAAAACUGAAGUCGUAUUUGUUUGGGUUCUAGGCGACAGGUGAACACAAUGUGUUCAUCUGUGAAGUUGUAGUCUUAAAGCGUGAUUUGCUUGAAACGUUGUUUGAAAAAUGUGAUUUUUGUGUUUUGUUGCUAGAUUACUUGAUCCGAUUUAGUAGAGGUUCAACAAGGAUCAUGAAGUGCAAAUACAUUGAAUGGCAUCUGAAUAUAUUUAUCCGGAAAGAAAUCUGGAAUUUUACUUGAUCCUGACAAAUGCAGGCUACUUCCCUUAGGAGAGAAAACAUAACUGGUUUAUGACAUUGCCCAAUAUGGCAAUUGCCACAGAGAUUCUUAGCUCAUUCAGCCACUGGAAGCUUCUUGAAAUCGAACAGAGGCUAUGCUGAACUUCGAAUGGAAAUCUUGCUAUGUAUAAAUGUUGACUUUGUUAUCCUCAAUCGCUAAGAAAAUCAAGUUGACAGCUUGUUUCUUGGCUACUGCUUGAAGCAAGGAACACAUACACAGGUUGCUGGCAAACACUAAAAGAUAUCGGAGACUACAUUGUAGAUGUAAUCUGUAAACUUGCUGGACUCAGUCACAAUCAUGGAGCCAUAUCAGUCCAAAAGGAUAACUCUUCUGCUUGAUUCCACAGGUUGCAUCAAUGUCUUUUUCAUCUUCUUCAUUUUCGGAAAUCUUGCUAUGUAUAAAUGUUGACUUCAUUAUCAUCAAUCAUUGAGAAAAUCAAAUUGAAAGCUUGUUUCUUGGCUACUGCUUGAAGCAAGGAACACAUACACAGGUUGCUGGCAAACACUAAAAGAUAUGGGAGACUACAUUGUAGAUGUAAUCUGUAAACCUGCUGGACUCGGUCACAACCAUGGAGCCAUAUCACUCCAAAAGGAUAACUCUUCUGCUUGAUUCCCCAGGUUGUGGGAAGACUUCCCUUUUGAGGGCUCUCUCAGGAAAUCUUGACAUAUCUCUAAAGGUGACAGGGGAACUAUUGAUAUUAUUGCUCAGAAAGUAGUAAUUUACUGUGGAUAAGUGUUCUGAGAAACCUGAGUUGGAAGUCUGUAGUUUACGAAGUUCAUCUUCAUGAGCUGAGCAUCCUGGAAUGCACUUUCAGAAAUCAAAAAACGUCUCAAAUCUUAAGAAACUAAAUUCAAUUUCAUUUUCGUGUAUUUUUUAAGGCAUUACUUUGCAGCGCCUCUUUCACAUUAAUUUUUGAGUAA